rnacentral:rRNA from 1 species
UAGGGAAUAUUGGACAAUGGGGGGAACCCUGAUCCAGCCAUGCCGCGUGGAGGAAGACUGCCCUCUGGGUUGUAAACUCCUUUUAUAUGGGAAGAACCGUCCUCAUUGAUGAGUGACCUGACGGUACCAUAGGAAUAAGCACCGGCUAACUCCGUGCCAGCAGCCGCGGUAAUACGGAGGGUGCAAGCGUUAUCCGGAUUCACUGGGUUUAAAGGGUGCGUAGGCGGAUAUGUAAGUCAGUGGUGAAAUCAACGGGCUCAACCUGUUAACUGCCAUUGAUACUGUGUAUCUUGAAUAUGAGAGAGGUAGGCGGAAUGUUGCAUGUAGCAGUGAAAUGCUUAGAUAUGCUGCGGAACACCGAUUGCGAAGGCAGCUUACUAUUUCGUAAUUGACGCUGAGGCACGAAAGCGUGGGUAGCGAACA